CACUCCUGCGGGAGGCAGCAGUGGGGAAUAUUGGACAAUGGGCGCAAGCCUGAUCCAGCCAUGCCGCGUGAGUGAUGAAGGCCCUAGGGUUGUAAAGCUCUUUCACCGGUGAAGAUAAUGACGGUAACCGGAGAAGAAGCCCCGGCUAACUUCGUGCCAGCAGCCGCGGUAAUACGAAGGGGGCUAGCGUUGUUCGGAUUUACUGGGCGUAAAGCGCACGUAGGCGGACUAUUAAGUCAGGGGUGAAAUCCCGGGGCUCAACCCCGGAACUGCCUUUGAUACUGGUAGUCUUGAGUUCGAGAGAGGUGAGUGGAAUUCCGAGUGUAGAGGUGAAAUUCGUAGAUAUUCGGAGGAACACCAGUGGCGAAGGCGGCUCACUGGCUCGAUACUGACGCUGAGGUGCGAAAGCGUGGGGAGCAAACAGGAUUAGAAACCCAGUAGUCCCAUGA
rnacentral:rRNA from 1 species